UCAAUCAGAUUGCAACUAAUAAUUCCCACAAAUAAUGAUUCCACGAUGCACUUUUCCAUGCAAUACGAAGAAUGGUUAUGCAUGUAUGAUAUUUCUAUGAUGGACAUGUUCUCUCCGCAACACACGAGACCACAAUAAAUGAUUCUGUAUGUGGGACUCUAAACUUCCAAUAAGUUCUGUCAUUAAUUUGCAAGAAAUUGCAUUAUUUAAGAUCAAACCCACGCCUGCUGUAAAAGCUUUUAAAAGGGGCUUGCAGAACCACAAACAAUGUGAGGGGUUAUUUGAAGGAUAUACCCCGUGAUUU